CACGCGGGCGAGGCCAACACC
rnacentral:misc_RNA from 1 species